rnacentral:lncRNA from 1 species
UCCGGGCCGGUUUUUUCUGUAAGGGACUGACCGAUGGGCCAUAUCUGUCAGAAAGGGCAUCUAUACGUAGAAAUACAAGGAUUACAACAUACUGCCUGUAUCUUGAUACGUAUUUGCAAAAAGUUUUAAAGAUAACACAAAUUUAUGAAUACAGCCCGAAUUAUGAUACUCUUUUGCAAUUAACUCCACUCGCACGUCAUGGG